rnacentral:rRNA from 1 species
CCUACGGGGAGGCAGCAGUGGGGAAUAUUGCACAAUGGGGGAAACCCUGAUGCAGCAACGCCGCGUGAGUGAUGACGGCCUUCGGGUUGUAAAGCCCUGUCUCCAGGGACGAUAAUGCCGGUACUUGAGGAGGAAGCCACGGCGAAUUACGUGCCAGCAGCCGCGGUAAUACGUAGGUGGCGAGGGUUGCCCGGUUUUACUGGGCGUAAGGGGAGCGUAGGCGGGCUUUUAAGUGAGAUGUGAAACACUCGGGCUCAACUUGGGUGCUGCAUUUGAAACUGGGAGUCUAGAGUGCAGGAGAGGAGAGUGGAAUUCCUGGUGUAGCGGUGAAAUGCGUAGAGAUUAGGAAGAACACCGGUGGCGAAGGCGAUUCUCUGGACUGUAACUGACGCUGAGGCUCGAAAGCGUGGGGAGCAAACAGGAUUAGAUACCCGUGUAGUC